UACGAAGGUGGCUAGCGUUGCUCGGAAUUACUGGGCGUAAAGGGCGUGUAGGCGGUUCGCGAAGUCGGGCGUGAAAGCCCCGGGCUCAACCCGGGAAUUGCGUUCGAUACUGGCGGACUUGAAUCCGGGAGAGGAUGGUGGAACUCCGAGUGUAGAGGUGAAAUUCGUAGAUAUUCGGAAGAACACACGUGGCGAAGGCGGCCAUCUGGACCGGUAUUGACGCUAAGGCGCGACAGCGUGGGGAGCAAACAGG
rnacentral:rRNA from 1 species